GUAGGCACCAAGCGUUGUCCGGAUUUAUUGGGCGUAAAGAGCUCGUAGGCGGUUCGGUAAGUCGGGUGUGAAAACUCUGGGCUCAACCCAGAGACGCCACCCGAUACUGCUGUGACUAGAGUGCGGUAGGGGAGCGGGGAAUUCCUGGUGUAGCGGUGAAAUGCGCAGAUAUCAGGAGGAACACCAGUGGCGAAGGCGCCGCUCUGGGCCGUGACUGACGCUGAGGAGCGAAAGCGUGGGUAGCAAACAGGAUUAGAUACCCUGGUAGUCCACGCCGUAAACGUUGGGCACUAGGUGUGGGUCUCAACCAACGAGAUCCGCGCCGUCGCAAACGCAUUAAGUGCCCCGCCUGGGGAGUACGGUCGCAAGACUAAA
rnacentral:rRNA from 1 species